rnacentral:rRNA from 1 species
UACGAAGGGGGCUAGCGUUGUUCGGAAUCACUGGGCGUAAAGCGCACGUAGGCGGAUGUGUCAGUCAGGGGUGAAAUCCCGGAGCUCAACUCCGGAACUGCCUCUGAUACAGCACGUCUUGAGUUCGAGAGAGGUGGGUGGAAUUCCUAGUGUAGAGGUGAAAUUCGUAGAUAUUAGGAAGAACACCGGUGGCGAAGGCGGCCCACUGGCUCGAUACUGACGCUGAGGAGCGAAGGCCAGGGGAGCAAACGGG